UUGAGAUUUUUCUUUUUUGAGGAAGGCCUGUAUCACUAUGAAUUUCACACUAAGAACUGCUUUUGCUACACCCAGUAGAUUUUGAAUGUUUAUGUCCUCAUUGUCAUUUGUCACAAAGUAUUUUUUAAUUUCCUCUUUGAUUUCUUCAGUGAUCCAUUGGUUGUUUAGUAGCAUGUUGUUUAGUCUCCCCGUGUUUGUGUUUUUUGCAGUUUUUUUCUUGUUGUGGAUUUCCAGUCAUAUAGCAUUGUGGUCAGAAAAGAUGCUUGAUAUGAUUUCAAUUUUCUUAGUUACCGAGGUUGAACUUGUAGCCCAGGAUGUGAUCCAUCUCAGAGAAUGUUCCAUGUGCAAAAGGUCUAACUUUUCUAUUGUUUCCUUUAGGAUCUCUGUUGCUUUAUUGGUUUUCUGUCUAGAGGAUCUGUCCAUUGAUGUGAGGGGGGUAUUAAGGUCUCCUACUAUGAUUGUAUUCUCAUCAAUAUCUCCCUUUAUGUCUGUUAAUAUUUGUUGUAUGUAUCUGGGUGCUCCUAUAUUUGGGGCAUAUAUGUUGAUGAUAGUAACAUCCUCUCCUUGGAUGGAUCCCUUAAUCAUUAAAUAGUGUCCUUCUUUGUCUUUCUUUAUGUCUUUUGUUUUAAAGUCUAUUUUGUCUGAUAUGAGCGUUGCGACUCCUGCUUUUCUGUCAUGUCUAUUGGCGUGAAAUAUUUUUCCCCACCCUUUCACUUUCAAUCUAUAUGU
rnacentral:lncRNA from 1 species